GAAAUAAUGAACUCCUCCAAGGCAAGAAAUCUGUUUUGAAGCUUCUCUGCGUUCACACACAGCAGCCUGGUUUCCUGGAAGGGCAUUUUCCACAUUGUGCGUUAUGGAUGAUCAUCCCAGGCAUCAGGUGUGAAGCCCUGCAUCCACAUCCAGGGGCUAUCAAAUCUCUCUGCAAAAGGAGAAGCUGGACUCAGGCACGUUUACAGUGAUGUGUAUGCAGUUCUGUGAAGGAAGCUGCAGAAGAAAAAGGUGAAAGAGGUGAGGAAGCUGCAGAAGAAAACCUGGAAGUUAGCAGAGCUUGAUCCAGAGGUUUAAGGAAAGAAGCCAUCUCCAUAACAUAAAAGUGCAAGGUGAAGCAGCAAGUGCUGAUGGGGAAGCUGCAGCAAGUCAUCCAGAAGAUCUUGCUAAGGGUAUGCACAGAUGUGGAAACAGGAACUGAUGUGUCCAUUACACCACUAGGACAGAGGCCAGAACAAUGAAGAAACCAAAUACUUGGAAGAGGGUAGAGAUAAUGAAUGGAGUCCAAGAGCCCUGAUUGUGCCAUAAAUGUCCAGAUAAUUCCAUACCUGAGGAUUAUGUGGUUUGUAAACUUGGCACUUAGAAGAACCAAUAAAAUCAUGUUAUAGUUUCAA
rnacentral:lncRNA from 1 species